rnacentral:ncRNA from 1 species
CAAAGGCUUGGUCCUGACUUUACUAUCAGCUUUAGCUAAACUUACACAUGCAAGUCUCCGCACCCCCGUGAGAAUGCCCACAGCCCUCCUGCCAGGGGGCAUGGAGCCGGCAUCAGGCACAACCUUUAGCCCACAACGCCUUGCUCAGCCACACCCUCAAGGGUUCUCAGCAGUGAUAAACAUUAAGCCAUGAGUGAAAACUUGACUCAGUCAAAGCUAAUUUAAGGGCCGGUAAAACUCGUGCCAGCCACCGCGGUUAAACGAGAGGCCCAAGUUGAUAGGCCGCGGCGUAAAGAGUGGUUAAGGAACGCCCCUAAACUAAAGCCGAACGCUCCCCAAGCUGUUAUACGCUCCCGACAGUAUGAAGCCCAACAACGAAAGUAGCUUUAUUUAUCCUGAACCCACGAAAACCAAGACACAAACUGGGAUUAGAUACCCCACUAUGCUUAGUCCUAAACAAUGACUGCAAGAUACACUAUCAUCCGCCAGGGAACUACUGACACUAGUUUGAAACCCAAAGGACUUGGCGGUGCUCUAUAACCCCCUAGAGGAGCCUGUUCUAGAACCGAUAAUCCACGUUAAACCUCACCCUCCCUUGCUCUUCCCGCCUAUAUACCGCCGUCGUAAGCUUAUCCUGUGAAGGACAAAUAAUGAGCAAAAUUGGCCCCUCCCCCAGAACGUCAGGUCGAGGUGUAGCGAAUGGGAGGGGAAGAAAUGGGCUACAUUCGCUAAACGUACAGCGAAAACGAAUAACGCAUUGAAACAUGUGAUUGAAGGAGGAUUUAGUAGUAAGUAGAAGACAGAGUAUUUUACUGAAACUGGCUCUAGAGUGCGCACACACCGCCCGUCACCCUCUCCCACCCCCUCUUGAACCUGCUUUUCCUAAAACACUACUCAAACCCCUCAGGAGAGGAAAGUCGUAACAAGGUAAGUGUACCGGAAGGUGUGCUUGGUCUAAAU